GUAAAAGCUCCCUCUCCCAAAAAGCUCUAGCUUUUGUUCCUUUUAUUUAUUCAAUAAAAUUCCAUUUUUAUUAAGUUUAUUUCUUUUUCCCCAAAAAGCAUGAGCCACUAAAUUCAUCUAGCCAAAGGUUGUCGAAGAUUACCCAAAAAGGGUUCAUGAGGCUUAGAAUCCACACUUAACCUUCUCAACAAAUAUUCGUCAUUUCUCUGUAUUACAAGAUUGACGCUUCUAUCCAUGUCCCUUCAAAUGUGAUCUUUUCAUCUUGUGCAAAGGCGGCCGCUUUAUAUGUUUUGGGAAGGUUGCACAGUCGGUUCGUUAGCCUACUGCGUCAGUGUUUGUCAAGUCCAAGAGACAAAAUAGCGUGGCAUUCGCCAUUGAGAAGUGAUGAUCUAGUGUAAAACGGUUCCAUAAAAGUGACGAUUGGUUAGAGUCAGGUUCCUCUAUAUCGUGAGUCUAAAAUCUAAGUGGAGCUGGUGGUCAUAGGCGUCCUCUUCCACUAUAACUGGCUUAUUCUGUUAUGAUAAGGAUCAUCUAAAAGCCUAGGAUUGAACCUGAGGAGGAUCGAGAUAACCGGAGGCUGGAAUCUCUUUAUCAAAAACUCUAUUUUCUUAAUUCUGUUUAUUUUUACAGUUUCAAUUUCAAUUUAUGCAAUCUCAACUCAACCAAACUUUUAAUUUUGUUUUUUUAUUCUUUUCCAGGCACGCUAUUUUUAUUGGGCAAGACUUUGCUCGGGAUAUCGAGGAAGAGGAACCUGUGCAAGUCCAAUCCCUGAAGAUUUGACCCUACUUCCCUUAUACUAUUCUUUUCAUUAUUUUAUAGGGAUAUGAUACUUUUGGUGCUCUCAACGAUGCACCAAAUUUUGACACUGUUGCUGGGGACUAGUAACGUACUAAUCUUGCUCCUUUUGUUUCUUAUUACCAGAUCUGUUCCAAG
rnacentral:lncRNA from 1 species